rnacentral:rRNA from 2 species
CAAGGUUCCCUUGGACCGAGAGUUCACCGUUAGUAGCGUCGCGUGAGCUGGGUUUAUAGCGUCGUUCAGACAGAUUGUUCCCUAUCUACCGU